GAAGAGUUGCCUGGAAAAUGUGACUCUCCCCCUAGAGGUCUGAGGGGAGCCUAGGGUCUCCCUUUUCCCGUCAUCCUUUGCUCUUUUGGGUCUUUGGACAACCCUCGGCUGGCUGUGACUUGGGCUCCAGCCCUUCCCGAGCAAAGGCAUUUUCAGUAAAUACUGGCUUGGCUCCUUAGCAGACCAUGAUUGCACCCAAAGCACAGUUAUUUUGUAACCUCAGCCAGUGGUUCCCAGCUCUCUUCUGCCCUAGGAUUCAUGCUUGCACUCUGUUCCCGGGUCAGAUUCCAGGCCUUCAGCGUCUUUAAGACAGAGGUGCCUCCAGAUUCCCUGGGCUCGGAAUCCGCAGCGUGAGCGUCACCUGUGCUGCCUGGACGACAUCCAGAGCCAGCGGGGACCCUGCGGCCCUUCAUCGCUGCGGCGGGGACGGCGGCCCACGGGCGCCACGGCCCCACCUCCUCCUCCUGAGGGGUCCGCAGGAUUAGCAAAGCAUUCGGGCGCCCUGGAGGCAGAGGCGAGGGCAGGGCCCCGCAGCUGGAAGGGGCGCGAGGACUGCACACGCGGUAGGUGUCGUUGGCGCGGCUGCCGGGCUGCUCAGCAGCCUCGCGUGCAGGCACCUAGACCCUGCGGGCUGGCACCUCGGCUCUGCCCCGUGCGUCCCUUCGGCCCCCUGUCCGUCUACACUGCACGCCCGUCAGUGCCUUUCUCAGCCUAUUCCAUCGGUCCAUCUGCACGCCGGUUACAGAUUGAUUGAUUGAUAUAUUUUAUUCACAAAAUCUCCUCCCUGUGUCGUUCUCUUUAAGCACCCAGGCUACAGGAUAUCAAACAAAUAGUGCUUGCCGGGAAUCUGAGGGCUUGAUGGAGAAGGAAGGAAGACACGCGCGUGCGCACACACACACACACACACACACACACACACACACUGGUUAAGAAUCUGGGUUUUGGCCUAAGAUCACUCAGGUUCAAAUCCCAUCUGUGGCAUUUCCUAGUGGUGUGGCCUUGAAAAGUCACUUAAUUUUUCAAAGUUUCAACAUUCUCGUCUAUAAGAUGGAGAUAUACCCAUCAAUCAAACAUUUAGGGAGAGCACACUUUGUGGCCAGCACAGGCUGGGCACGAGGGAUCUAGCUCGAGACCACAGACAAAAUCCCUCCCAAGCAGACCUGGUAUUCAGAUCUCAACAAACGGAUCUUAAACGCAAAAUAAGGGAUGCACAGUGUGGCAGGUAAUGAUGACUAUGCUAUGACGGAAAACAACAGGGUGAGCCCAGGAAUGCAGGAGGUCUCUCUACUAGCGAGGGCCGCGAACACUUGUCUGAGGCGCAGGUGUGGGGCUGCAGACGGAUCACGGACGGGCCUGCCUGGAGGAAGAGCAUGAGGCUCAGGAGGAAGGCCCUGAGGGGGAGAGCAAGGCCCUGAGGGAGGAGCAAGGCCCUGGG